rnacentral:rRNA from 1 species
GACAGAGGUGCCGAGCGUUAGGCGGAAUUACUGGGCUUAAAGCGUGUGUAGGCGGACCGUUAAGUACCUUGUGAAAUCCCACGGCUCACCCGUGGAACGGCUGGGUAUACUGGCGGUCUUGGGCCACCUAGGGGCAGAUGGAACAGACGGUGGAGCGGUGAAAUGCGUAGAUAUCGUCUGGAACGCCGAUGGUGAAGGCAGUCUGCUGGGGGUGUGCCGACGCUGAGGCACGAAAGCGAGGGGAGCGAACGGG